rnacentral:rRNA from 1 species
GACGAACGCUAGCGGCAGGCCUAAUACAUGCAAGUCGAACGGUAAGGCUUCUUCGGAAGUACACGAGUGGCGCACGGGUGCGUAACACGUAUGCAACCUACCCUUUAGAGGGGGAUAGUCGCGGGAAACUGCGAAUAAUACCCCAUAUGCUCACGGAUUGGCAUCAAUUUGUGGGGAAAGCUCCGGCGCUAAAGGAUGGGCAUGCGUCCCAUUAGCUAGUUGGUGAGGUAACUGCUCACCAAGGCUCCGAUGGGUAACUGGUCUGAGAGGAUGAUCAGUCACACGGGCACUGAGACACGGGCCCGACUCCUACGGGAGGCAGCAGUAAGGAAUAUUGGACAAUGGACGCAAGUCUGAUCCAGCCAUGCCGCGUGGUGGAUGACGGCCCUCUGGGUUGUAAACACCUUUUAUGUGGGGAUAAUGUGGUUCUAUAUGAGCCAUUGCAGGUACCACAUGAAUAAGCACCGGCUAACU